CAGAGUGCUGCAUAGUCCUGUCUUUUGUUUCAUCAACACAGGGUGACAGAUAAAACAGCCGCUAUGUUGUGCCUAGACCAGAAGGUACACACCCACAACCCACACUUGGCUCCAAUGGAAGGAAUCAAAUGGCAGUACCCGUCCUGAUCUCACCCACUAAUUCCACGCAUGGGUUUCUGGGAGAUUCUGGCACAUUAAGGGUGGAAGAAAAAGUGAGAUGUUGCACCCACAUUGCAGCUGAAAAGACUCAAAACACAAUGGAUCCCAGUAUGUUUUCAUUUUUCAAUUGGAUGAAGAAAUUACAGCUCGUGGGAGGAGCAAUCCUUAAUAAGCUGGGGGACCACAAUUGACAAAUCUACAAGAUGACAAAACCAGGAAGAAGAGAUUCAAAAUAUUGUGGAGAUAUUUGAAACUUAAAGGAGUCAGAAGACAAAAGAAGGAUUCUCCUUCUGCCCUGACACCACAGCAUGUGUAAAGCAAUUUACUGCACUCAACCACAAUCUCAAAUGGCUCAGAACAGGAAUGUAUACAUCAGCCUGAAAUAUAACACAGGUCCAAGGUGCAGCAACAGAGCCAAGAGAAGAGCCAUCCAAAUUUGUAUACAUGUUCCAAAUAAUAUUCCUGGACUUCAGGAUUUGCUAUCACAUGAUAAAUGAACUCAGUGUCAGCUAUGGAUUCCCGUGACAACCAGAAAAACGUAACGAUGGAGAAAUGUAGGAAGGUUUCAAGACCCUGAACAAUAAAUAUUAUUCCCGAGAAUCUGAUGGGGACGUAUAUGGAAGUCUAUUAUCCACUUACUAAUGAGGCCUGCUACAUAGCAAGAUCACAGCUUCAGGCACCAAUCCUAUAAGGGCUGCCACAAAGACAUAAGGACCGGCUCAACCAAUCCAUUUUCACUGAUGACUAAAUUGUCUACAAAUUAUCAUGAACUUGGAAAGCUUAGACCAUUUAUCUGCAAUGUGAGCUUUGUUCAAGGAACAGAUUUUCCAAGCUUACAUCACAGCUAAUCCUAGAUACAAGAUGUGACUUUCCACAUACAUUUUCAACUCUUUGAAGCUGAGAAUACUGUUCUUUUUAGUUCACCAAUAGCAUACAACAUUAAGAUUCAAAUUCUUGAAUGCAAAUUCUGAAAGCCUUCUGCUAUUUUUUUUAACACUUGCUAAAGAAAACAUGACUUUUUUAAAAUUGUAAAUUGCAAUAGGAUUACACGAUACCAGCAGGUCAAGACAGCAGGUAAUUGUUUCUAGUUAAUUUGCUAGAAACAUCAUACAUAUAGUCUCCCUGACUGUCCUCUACCCUGUGCCAAUUGGAGCCAGCUGCAAAAUUAAUCUUAAAUGCUACCAAAUUAGAAUUUGCUACUCAUUUAUUCCAGUUUGAGAUCUCCUUGCCCAGGUGUACAUGAGUUCAUAAAAUGAACAGCAAUGGAGAAUCAGAUCUGAUGCUUUCUGUAGGUGCAUUGGAAAUUGAUUCCACAUGUCCCUGAUGUCGUACUGUUGAGAUUAAUAUUUGUGCGGGAGGAAGUCUCCUAUUUUUAGAAUUGUGUUUUUUGAGACACUUCCUUGUGCUUCUUUUGGCGUAUGUACUUACAGGCUUUUGUCUUAUGUAGUUUUGCUUCAUAUUUUAACCCCCAAAUAUGUCUGCAAGUGUCAUAAACAUCAUAUUUAAAUGUCUUCAGGCUGGUGUUGCUCAGAGACUCCUGUCAUGAGUUCGGAAGAUUGCUGAAUCUGUCCUACAGUUCAGGUAACAAAGAACUGACCUUUUAGACUGUGCUAUUUGUGCAAGGUAGCUCACCUGCUCUGACAAGGAAAUUAAACUGUAAUGACAGUUGUAAAUGUGUGUAUUUUUCUCUAUCCUAGCACUUCAUAUUCAUUCCCAACCGAGACGACUCAAUUUACCAGUACUGAACUGAGUGAGGCAACAGUGGUUUAUGAAACACCUUCUUAUCCCAUGCAGGGACUCCCCAUUUCAUAGGAGAUUGAAACACUAUUUAGUGUACAUCUUGAAAAGCAGAAAAUUCUUACUUUAAGAGCUAAAGAGAGCCUUACAUGUUAAUUUACAGUAAAAUAAAGUUAGUUUUUAAAUGAAAGCCAAGUUUUGUACAUUAUACAAGUUGAUUCAAAGUUUGUAGAUGUGGUUCCUUCCCUGAGUGGAAUAUAAAGAUAUACUAAUUGACAGGUGACAUUCAAUGAGGCUCAGAAACAACAGCUAUCGGUUCCAGUUGGUCAAGUUUAAUGCUAGGAUGCUAGUUUUAGAGCCUUUAGGGAGAACUUGGGUCAGGUUUACAAGUUCUUCUCUGUAAUCACAAAGUAGGUUAGAAACUUUUUUUUUUUUUAAAUAUGGAAGCUGGGACACUCUUACAAUCACCUCUCUUCAGGAGCUACUGCUUUAAGUAAAACACUGUAUAUCAUGAGACCUAAUAAAAUCACAAGAUUUGGCCACAGUGCGCUCCACUCCUACCACUAAAACCCUGUUUAUGCUUUGAUUAGGUCUCACCUUUACUGUGCAGUCUCCUCCUUUUCAUGUCUCAGACUAGAGGGUGGAUAUGUGAGAAACUAAUAAAAAUGCUGCAGGUUCUCUAGAAUAUUCAAAAUGCAGCUGGUACAUACCUAUGCCCCCUUCAUAGCACUUUGAUCCUCCUCAACUUCCUUUACUAGCUAUCACCUCUUGCAACAAAUGACAUUUCAACAGACACAAGGUUCUUGACCUUAUCCUCCAAGGCUCUACUAAACUCCACUCCUGUCUACAUCUUGGUAAACCUAUCCCAAUCCCCUGAUGGCCUUUCUGUUAGUCAAUUUCCAUUGCUUAUUGCUCCCUUUGCCUCCUCCUAGUAAAGUGCUGUUGUGCUAGAUAAUACAAAUGGAAAAUCCUCUGACGUCCUAUGCACUAAGCAAUGUAACUCAUUCUCCUCAGCCAACCUCACUUUUAGAAUUAAUUACCAAGGCUUUGGCAUCCCUUGCUUACCAACUGUAUCACCUUGGGAUUUUUAACACUCGUUGAGCCCAGUGAUACCAAUCUGAAAAUGCAGUGAUAGCAAACAGUUUGUUCAAAACAAAUUAUGAUUUAUCAAUAGGAACAUAACAGAGAGAAAAAGCUUUUAAAACAAGACAAUAUUAAUGUGUGUCUAAGGAUUAUCUAAAUAUAACAUUUACCUAAUGCAGUUAGGGAGCAUUGAUAUACCCACUCUGUUUUUGCGAUCAAGCUGCAAAUCUUGUCUCCUCAUAAGAAACACUUUUUAACUACUUUCAAGCUCCACACUUUUCAUUAGACCAAUAGCACCUGAUUCUGCAUUGGUGGAGGUAAAUUUCAAAGUAAUUAUAACAUCCAUGUGUCUGUACUAACCAUUAGGACAGUCUAUAGGCAUUGAUAUUUGGUUCCUGCCAAGUUAACUAAGCCUGAUUUCCCUCUCAUUUACUCUGUUUUCACUCAGAAAUAUAACCACCCAGAAACCCACAUAGAUAAUUUUAUGAAGAAAAAGCUCCCAUGUUUGUCACAGCUAGGCACAACUGAUUAUUUUGCUAAGUCUAAUAUAUAUGCCUGAAAGUCCAGUGCCCUGUGAUCUCUAUGCAGAACUUAUGAUCAUUAGAUGCAUAUAAACUAAGCAAAAUUAUGUAACUAAUUAUUGUCCACUACUUUGCGGGGGGGAGGGGGGGUGAUAAAUUUAACUUUGGAUUUACUGCUGUAUGUUUAAAACUUGUAUAUAAUAUGUAGUGAUUUAAAACUGAGCUGUUCAGUCCAUCAACAAGAAUGCUGUUCUGGGGUUCUGAUAAUAAAAAUAAAAGGCAUUAGAUUUAUUUAUAUGGAGUCAUCCAAAACCAUACCAUGAUACAGUAGGCCGCACCUUUCACCUCUUGAUGGGAAAGGAUGCGCAGAUGUUUAUCUUUAGA